AUCCUUUUGUAGUUCAUAAGUGUGACGAUUGGGUUUUUUCACGCUCAUGUGUGAGAUAUGCCUUCUUUAAAUGUUCUUACACCAUCAGCACAUUAUCCAUCUGACA
rfam:Papio anubis isolate 1X1155 chromosome 3, whole genome shotgun sequence.